CUCAGGUGAUGUUGUCAUAAUUUCCCCCCUUCAAUGCUAUUGUUUCGACUGAUAUCAUGUGUAAAAUUUGUCACUAUCUUUAUCUAAGCCCUAUUGUAUCAAGCCUUUCAUGGUUGAAUUAAGAUAGAGUAAAGAGGUAACUGCCUUUAUAUAAUGAUCCAAACUUCUAAGAAGUAAUCACAAAACUUUUACUUCUUUUGACAGGUUUCGUCAAGUUGGGUAGACCAAUGUUAUUUCGGGAUGAACUGAGUUUAAAUUUGAUCUCAAGGAAAAAACUAAAGUUAACAUAUCCUACUUUCAGUUUCAACCCAAUUUUAUGGAGAAUUAUAGGUUUGAAGGGCGUCAAAGGUUAGAAAUCAGUACCAAAAACUGUUGAAUAUUCAUCUUUGUUCAAUGAUUGAUGUUCAGAACAUUUAAUUGACCAUGUGUUUCAUUUGUUUAAAGUAAUUUCCUUAUUCAUCAAUGUUAUGCUGUUGCUUUCAAAUUUCUCGAUGUAGGAGGAAUUGAAGAUGUUCUAAUGAGAGCGUACAUCUUGCUUUUGAUUUAAUGUCUCUAGGAAAGAAGGACAACAUUAUAGGAUAAUAAUAUUCUGAUGGUGCAGAUUGUUUUGGAAAGAAUAGCAAAAAAUACUCAUGGCUAUGUUGGUGCUGACCUUGCUGCUCUGCACUGAAGCUGCACUCCAGUGCCUAAGAGAGAUUAUUAUUAUUAUUUUGAUAGGUAAAAAGGAUAUUAUUGAUUUGGAAGACGAUUCUAUUCACGGUGAGAUACUAACUCCAUGAUUGUUACCAAUAAGCACUUCUAGACUACUCUAGGAAAAAGCAACCUAUCCGCUUUAUGGGAGACCGUAAGUGGAUUUUGACUGCUAUAUAUUUUGCUUGAUAUUUGUUUAUAUAUGUUUGUUGUCAUUUUUUUUUUUAAUGACGAGGGAACCCGCAGCCGUUACCCUUCGAGUGCGCACUAGAUAAACCCUCGAGCUGACGCAAUAGCCUGCAAAUCAUGCCAAUCAGGUAAACCGCACAGGCAAGCCUGGUGCGACAACAUGUUUGUUGUCAAUUUUGAUAUGAGAUUAUUACGUGAAAUAGCAGGUUGCCCGAUAUUUGCCUACUUAUGUUUGUUGUCAAUUUAAUAUUCCAAAUGUAUGAAUCACUUCAUUGCUUAGUUAAGUGAUUCAUUAAUAAAAUAACAUUUAACUAAUUUGAUCUUAUAAAGUAGAAAUCAU
rnacentral:lncRNA from 1 species